rnacentral:tRNA from 1 species
UAAGGAUGCCAGAUUUAAUGGGCUAGAUUUAGGUUCUAUUAAUGGUUUGAUACCUCCUUGC